rnacentral:misc_RNA from 1 species
GAACAUGCUUCCAUGGGAAAGUGUCCUCAGAGUCUGGGAUGUACUUCUGUUUGAAGGAAACCGAGUGAUGUUAUUCCAUACCGCGCUUGCUUUGAUGGAGCUUUAUGGACCUGCAUUAGUUACCACAAAAGAUGCAGGGGAUGCAGUUACCCUGUUGCAGUCACUUGCUGGCUCCACAUUCGAUAGCAGUCAACUGGUGCUGACAGCCUGCAUGGGCUAUCAAAAUGUUAAUGAAGCUCGAUUAGAAGAACUAAGAAAUAAGCAUCGACCAGCUGUGAAGGCUGCUGUUGAAGAGAGGUUCAAAGGACUUCGAGUUUGGAGGGACUGUCAGGGUUUAGCUUCUAAACUCUCCAGUUUUGAGCAUGAUCCUGGAUCUGUAAUUGUUGGAACCACUGAAACCGAUAAAAAAACUGAUGAAGUGAUGAAUAGUGAUGCAUCUAAUUAUGUGGAUGAACUUCACAUGAACCUUAGUGGUAAUGUGGCAGAUUCUGCUCCAGAUCUCCAAGAACAGGUGGUCUGGCUGAAGGUUGAGUUGUCCAAGUUGCUGGAGGAGAAAAAAUCUGCUGAACUCAGAGCUGAGGAGUUGGAAGCAGCAUUGAUGGAGAUGGUCAAGCAGGAUAACAGGCGGCAGUUGAGCGCACGGGUUGAGCAAUUAGAAAGACAGGUUGCUGAGCUUCAAGAGGCCCUUGUUGCUAAGCAAGAACAAGAGAAUGCCAUGCUUCAGGUUUUGAUGAGGGUGGAGCAAGAACAGAGGGUAACAGAAGAUGCUCGCAUAUUUGCUGAACAAGAGGCAGCAGCUCAAAGACAUACCUCUCAAUUGCUACAGGAAAAGUAUGAAGAAGCCAUCGCUUCCCUUGCUGAGACGGAAAAGAGGGUGGUUAUGGCAGAAUCGAUGUUGGAGGCUACCUUGCAGUACCAAUCUGGACAAGAUAAAGUGCUUCCCUCUCCAAGAUCUACGCAGCAAGUUUCAUCUCCUGUAGGGGGCAACCAAGAAUCAUCACUAGAGAUACCUGUUAGAAAAAUCAGUUUGCUCUCAAGACCGUUUGGACUUGGCUGGCGUGACAGCAACAAGGGGAAGCCGACCGAGGAGGUUAAUGACACCAAAACAGUGAAUGAGGAGCAGAAGGAAAUAAAUGACCAUCAGUCUGAGAAGAAAAUACAAGAGGCCUAAAGAUGCAGAUUCAAAUAAUGACCACCAAAUGUAGAAUGCUUUCAAUACUGGUCACUGUAUCUAUAUAGAGGUGAUAAUUUUUGUAUUCAGUUGCUUAUUCAUUAAAGUAAGACUAUAAUCAGUCACAUGGUGUAAAGGAAAAAAGAGCAUUUCGGUUUACUGUAUUUGUAAAAUCAUUCUCAAUUACCU